UACAGAGGGGGCAAGCGUUGUUCGGAAUUACUGGGCGUAAAGGGCUCGUAGGCGGCCAACUAAGUCAGACGUGAAAUCCCUCGGCUUAACCGGGGAACUGCGUCUGAUACUGGAUGGCUUGAAUCCGGGAGAGGGAUGCGGAAUUCCAGGUGUAGCGGUGAAAUGCGUAGAUAUCUGGAGGAACACCGGUGGCGAAGGCGGCAUCCUGGACCGGUAUUGACGCUGAGGAGCGAAAGCCAGGGGAGCAAACGGG
rnacentral:rRNA from 1 species